rnacentral:misc_RNA from 1 species
AACCAUAGAAACCUGCGGAGUACCUGCGGAAGGAUCAUUACGAGAGUGUCACCACUCCCAACCCAUUGUUUACCUACCCGUCCACCGUGCUUCGGCAGGCAGCCCUGUGGGACAGAGCCUCGCCCCCUUUCGCGGGGGGUGCCUGCCGCUUGCCAACCAAAACUCUAGCUGUUUUAGUACCAUCUGAGUCUUCCACAAAUGAACAAAACUUUCAACAAUGGAUCUCAGAUCGGAAGAGCA